AGAAAAGAAGAAAACAAUAAGGACAUAAUCAAAUUGGUUAUAAACUGUUAUUCUUUGCUUUCUCUUUGAAACAAAAAUACAAGUGUUAUAGAAUAUUAAAUAACCUCUUUCACCCUAAUUAGGAUUUGCGUUAUGUAAUGAUGAGAGACUAGUAUGCUAUUUAUAAGAAAACUAACAUACUAAACUAAUGGGCUUUUACACACAUAUCCAUUACACAAGCUAACGUAAAGAACAAUCCAACUUAAACAAUUGGGCAUAACAAACAAACUCAAUUUGACAUGCUAACAAUCCUAGCAUACUUCGAUUACAGCAUGUGAACAGACUUCUACAACAUGCUAAUGAUCAUGUAGGAUUGUCGAACCAAAUACUAGAGUUAGAUCCAAUGUCUCACAAAUCUCCCCCUUGGAACAAACUCUAUAACAUUUGGGAAACAAACUGGCUUUAUUUUUUCUAUGUCCUUAACGCAGUCUCCAUGACUUUGGCUCCCCUCAACGCUUCUAAACAACCCUACUGAACUAGUAGGGCUUUCAUCUUCAAGCGCCACAGACCGAAAUCGUUCACUCCGGUGAACUUUUCAAUCUCAUACUUUGUUGAAGGCAUCUUCUUCAUCCUCACCACACCAAUUUGUUGUGAAAACGAUGUUAGAAUUACAAAUUAUAAUUGGUUUCUUGAUCAGUAAGAAAUCCACAAGGAUAGAAAAAAUGAAAAUAAGAAGAACACAAUGAAAUUGGUUAUAAACUGCUAUUAUUUAUUUUCUCUUUGAAAUUAGAUUACAAGUGUUACAAAAUAGCAAAUAAUCUCUCUCAUCCUAAUUAGCAUUUACGUUAUUCAAUGAUGAGAGACUAUUAUGCAAUUUAUAAAAAAACUAACAUACUAAACUAAUGGCCUUUUACACAUAAGAUCAUUAUACAAGCUAACUUAGAGAACACGCUAACUUAAACAAUUGGGUAUAACAAACAGGUCCAAUUUGACAUGUUAACAAUUCUAGCAUACGUCGACUACAACAUGUGAACAUACUUCGACGACAUACUAAGGUUUUGUCGAACUGUCGAACCAAGAAGUUACCCUUCGACAAUACUAAAAUUCGAUCCAAUAUCUCACAAAUCUCCACCUUAGAACAAACUCUAUAAAAUCCCGGGAACUAACUAGCUUUCUUUUUCCUAUGUUCGUUAACGCAACGUCCAUAGAUUUGACUCCUUUCAACGCUUCUAAAAAAUCCUACUGAACUAAUAGGGCUUUCAUCUUCAAGCACCACAUACCAAAAUUGUUCACUCUGGUGAAUUUUUUAAUCUCAUACUUUUAUAUAUAUA
rnacentral:lncRNA from 1 species